rnacentral:rRNA from 1 species
UACGAAGGGGGCUAGCGUUGUUCGGAAUUACUGGGCGUAAAGCGCACGUAGGCGGGUUAUUAAGUCAGGGGUGAAAUCCCGGAGCUCAACUCCGGAACUGCCUUUGAUACUGGUAAUCUAGAGAUUGGAAGAGGUGAGUGGAAUUCCCAGUGUAGAGGUGAAAUUCGUAGAUAUUGGGAAGAACACCAGUGGCGAAGGCGGCUCACUGGUCCGAUACUGACGCUGAGGCACGAAAGCGUGGGGAGCAAACAGG